UGUACACAUCAGUAAAUAAAAUAUUGUGGGUAGACGCUGUCUCAACUUUUACCCAUUUAUAGCUCUGGUGCGUCAACAUAAAAACAAUAUGGAACAAAAGUUAAGAAAAUCAAAGUUUAUUUUUUUAACUCAUAUAUAAAUGCAAAUGGAGUCGUCGCAAGCCCCUUUUUCGUGAGGGGGAGGGAGGUUAAGCUACCUUAAAAGUUUCAGAAGCAGCCAUAAAAUUGAUAUCUUACCUUAAAUACAGGUUAUCAACGUUAAAUUUCCUUCAAAAUGAGUGCAAUUCAUUCCACAUGGCCACCAAUUGCGGCAACUAUAGCUCUCAGAAAUUAUAGAACUGCUUUACACGCUGUAUGGAUGGUCUUCUCCGACAAAUUGCCCCAUUCGUACAGUAUGACGGCCUUCAAGUCUUCACCGCUGCAGUCGGAAAUCACACUAACUUCCUUCUCCGGAAUGGUCUACUUGGAAGAAGGGCCACAUGUCCUUGAUCCAAAAUUGCUCAAAAGUAGUUUUGCACCACACAUGUGCAGACUUUGCUGUAUGGGAAGAUGGUCCGUCUUGCUGAAAACAGUAAGACCCUUCCCAGUGAUAUUCGUCGAUCGAGGGAAGUACAUAUUGUAACAUAUCUAGAUAGACAAGUUGAUUGACCUUCACAACCUCAGUAAUGAAGAUAAAGGUCGUCUUGAUCCUGCUGGAAGUGAUUGUUUUAUCGUGUAGUGGACCGAUAACUUGGAUACAUUGAGGUAUUUUAGGCCUUUAGUAAUGGCCUUAAAGCUCUUCCCUUCCAAAUGAACGUUCGGGUUAAUGAUGUUAUCGUUAAAGUAUCAGAACAAAUAGAAGUUGUGUUAAUCAUAUGCAACAAACAGAAUUAAAAAAUACACACUUAUCGAGAAAAAUAUUAAGCUGAAAUGGAAAUCAAAAUGGUCGAACACAUUGUUAUGUUUAAAACUAUCCAAUAAUGACGAUGACUGAUUAUUAUCUUAUUUACAAAAUUAUAUUAUAUUAUAAGACUCUAAUGAUCAAUACAUUAUCUAAACAAU
rnacentral:lncRNA from 1 species